rnacentral:rRNA from 1 species
AUGGCGGGAGCUGAAAUUCCCUCCCGUCAAUCAUUUCUUGUUUUUCAGGUCCAUGUAAAAUUGCCCCAUUCCCAUAUAUAUAGCGGGAACGGCACGGAAUAUGCUGGAUUCCAAAAAGAAGAUCCGGGAUGGUCGAAUAUACGAGAUCUAUUCAGGACGGAAAAAUCGCCUUCACCCCGUUGCCGCCACGGCCGCGUCCUCGUCAAAGACUGGGUGCGAGAUGAGGUCGUUGUGUGUGAUCCUAUCACCAGCAAGCAGCACCGGGUGCCUAUUCUGCCCAAGUUCAAUGAACGCUACCCCUGCCUCAACGGGGCGGUGCUCUGUGCUGCCGGCGGCCAGGGCCAUGUGCAUGGCGGCUGCCACUCGUGCCCUUUCAAGGUGGUCUUGGUGUCCGAACUGGAUCAUCGACCCAUCGCCUGUGUUUACUGCUCGGAGACCGGCAUCUGGGGCGAUAUCAUCUCAACAGAGGCUACAAAUACUAUUUUUGAUAUGUCUCCUAGUCCUAGCACCCUUGUUGGUAAUGUUCUUUACUGGUCGUCUACCUAUGGGCGAGACAACAUACUUCAAUUUGAUUUGGACAGUCAGAACCUUGAGGUGAUCAGAGGGCCUCGCUGUAUGAAUAAUAGGUUCAUCGACCACUUUCAGAUCAUCCAGGCAGAGGAUGGUGUUGUUGGUCUCAUCGUGUUGUCUUGCCAUAACCUUCAAAUGUGGAAAAGAAAGUUGGACAGUAAGGGUGUUGCCAUCUGGUUGAGGCAGAAGACGGUUGCGUUGCGUAACAUUCUUGAGCUCCCUCCUAAGAUUAGGAAAAGUAGGGAACUGCAUGGAAAAUUUGUUGGUCACGAUGAGGACAACAAUGCAGUGUUUUUAUAUAUCGACGGCAAUGUCUAUAUGGUUCAACUCAAGUCAAUGCUAUCCAAGAAACUCAAGGGGAUCGGUUCUGCUAGUUACUGUUAUCCUUUCACAAGUUUCUAUCCACCAAGCACAGCUAUUACUGCUGAAUAUGGAGCUAAAAUGUUAGGAUGA